AGCCGCGGGGCGGGCGGUGGCGCUCCCGGAAGUGGCGCGGACGUCGCGUGCGUCUGAGCGGUGCGUCGGGCUGCAGGAGAAGAUGGCGGUCUCCACAGGUGUUAAAGUUCCUCGUAAUUUUCGUUUGUUGGAAGAACUUGAAGAAGGACAGAAAGGAGUGGGCGACGGUACGGUUAGCUGGGGCCUGGAAGAUGACGAAGACAUGACACUCACAAGGUGGACAGGCAUGAUCAUUGGGCCACCACGGACAAAUUAUGAAAACAGAAUAUAUAGCCUGAAAGUAGAAUGUGGACCUAAAUACCCAGAAGCUCCUCCAUCAGUUAGAUUUGUAACCAAAAUUAAUAUGAAUGGAAUAAAUAAUUCCAGUGGAAUGGUGGAUGCACGAAGCAUACCAGUGUUAGCAAAAUGGCAAAAUUCAUAUAGCAUUAAAGUUGUACUUCAAGAGCUAAGACGUCUAAUGAUGUCCAAAGAAAAUAUGAAGCUUCCACAGCCACCAGAAGGACAAACAUACAACAAUUAAUUUUAGUGGAUCUCAAACUUGUCUUAAAUCAGCAACCUUCUACUCAUGUUAAUGUCUUGAUUAAAUAUCACAAUGCAAAAUACCCACACAUUAAAGUAAGAUAAUUCCAGCUGGUAAACAUGACCUGGACAUUUGUAAGAAUAUAUUUAAUAUAUGUACACCCAUUAUGUUUUCAGGUAACAGGAGGAAAAUUCAGCAGUCUUUUCUUGUUAAGGCACCACCACUUAAGCACGCACCUGGAGUCCUCACUGGAACUCAGGUUUGCAGGUGAGAGCACGGCAAGAAGUGUCGGCUGGCUGUGCAGGCAGAUGUGUUUCUGACGAGAAAGCCAAGAAGGAAACUCGAGUGGCGUGCUCCAUCAUCUUGCUUAGAGAAAGAGCUUCAGUUGAAAUUGUCUAAAGUAGCAGGCACUUAACAGUAGAUAACUUUAUCAAGUUCUGAAGAUUAACCGAGUAAAAUGAGGUUUUGACAUGACACCUGCAUUAGAAUGUAAAGUUGGUUACAGUACUUACGUCAUGCUUUUGGGUCUGAAGACUCACUGUUUUCCAGUCAACAAACCUGGUCAUUGUGAACCUGUAUUACACAGGGUGGAGUCUUAUAGCCUGUGUGGUUUGUCUGUCCUUAACAUGAGAGAAGAGUAGAUUUUCUCUGCAGUUGAUAACUGACAAAGAGAAAUGUCUUGUCUGACUGCUUCUUAAGCUACAUUGUCCAGAUAAAUAGUGAUCAGAUUAUAUCCACUAACAUAGAUUAUCUUUUUAUUGCUCUAAUUAAAAAAAUCAUCUGAAUACCCAAGUGAAAAAAUUGAGUUCACAAGAAAAAUGCAGUAUCUAAUUGCCUGGGUUUCUUUACCUUGAGUAACAUAUGGACUUCCUUAAGGAGAAAAUAAUUCUUUUGGACUCAAUAUUGUUUUGAAUUAUUUUUGUUAAAAUAUUGUUUAAUGCAUAAAACUGUUAAUGCAAAUGUAUAUACUUCUUAGUCCUAUAAAAUUAUAAAGCCCAAUAAAAUUAUAAAGGUUACACAGUAAUUAAAAUGUAAAA